rnacentral:rRNA from 1 species
UACAGAGGUGGCAAGCGUUGUUCGGAAUUACUGGGCGUAAAGGGCGCGUAGGCGGCCUUGUAAGUCCUGUGUGAAAUCCCCCGGCUCAACUGGGGAACUGCACAGGAGACUGCUUGGCUUGAGUUCGGGAGAGGGAAGCGGAAUUCCGGGUGUAGCGGUGAAAUGCGUAGAUAUCCGGAGGAACACCGGUGGCGAAGGCGGCUUCCUGGACCAACACUGACACUGAGGAGCGAAAGCCAGGGGAGCAAACGGG